UUGGGGGUUACUGGUUUAUACUGGGAGCACUGGGAGCCAAACUGGGUCGCACUGGGAGCCAUACUGGGAAUACUGGGAGAGGGUUUGGGGUCAUACUGGGAGCACUGGUUUGUACUGGGAGAGGGUUUGGGCCAUACUGGUCCAUACUGGGAGCACUGGGAGCCAAACUGGGAAUACUGGGAGAGGGUUGGGGCCAUACUGGGAGCACUGGUUUGUACUGGGAGAGGGUUUGGGUCAUACUGGUCCAUACUGGGAGCACUGGGAGGGGUCACUGGUCCAUACUGGGAGCACUGGGAACCAUACUGGGAAUACUGGGAGCACUGGGAGGGGUCACUGGUUCAUACUGGGAACACUGGGAGCCAUACUGGGAUUACUGGUUUGUACUGGGAGCACUGGGAGGGGGUUUGGGGUCAAACUGGGAGCGGUUACUGGUCCAUACUGGGAGCGCUGGGAGCCAAACUGGGAAUACUGGGAGAGGGUUGGGGUCAUACUGGUCCAUACUGGGAGCACUGGGAGCCAAACUGGUCCAUACUGGGAGCACUGGGAGGGGUCACUGGUCCAUACUGGGAGCACUGGGAGCCAUACUGGUCCAUACUGGGAGCACUGGGAGCUGUACUGGGAAUACUGGUUUGUACUGGGAGCACUGGGAGGGGGUUUGGGGUCAAACUGGGAGCACUGGGAGCGGUUACUGGUCCAUACUGGGAGCACUGGGAGGGGUCACUGGACCAUACUGGGAGCACUGGGAGCCAUACUGGGAGCACUGGGAGAGGGUUUGGGUCAUACUGGUCCAUACUGGGAGCACUGGGAGCCAUACUGGGAGCACUGGGAGCCAUACUGGUCCAUACUGGGAGCACUGGGUGGGGUCACUGGUUUAUACUGGGAGCACUGGGAGCCAUACUGGGAAUACUGGUUUGUACUGGGAGCACUGGGAGGGGGUUUGGGGUCAAACUGGGAGCACUGGGAGCAGUUACUGGUUCAUACUGGGAGCACUGGGAGCGGUUACUGGUUCAUACUGGGAGCACUGGGAGCCAAACUGGUCCAUACUGGGAGCACUGGGAGGGGUCACUGGUCCAUACUGGGAGCACUGGGAGGGGUCACUGGUCCAUACUGGGAACACUGGGAUGGGGUUUGGGGUCAUACUGGGAGCACUGGUUUGUACUGGGAGAGGGUUUGGGCCAUACUGGUCCAUACUGGGAACACUGAGAGGGGUCACUGGUCCAUACUGGGAGCACUGGGAGCCAAACUGGUCCAUACUGGGAGCACUGGGAGCCAAACUGGUCCAUACUGGGAACACUGGGAUGGGGUUUGGGGCCAUACUGGGAGCACUGGUUUGUACUGGGAGAGGGUUUGGGCCAUACUGGUCCAUACUGGGAGCACUGGGAGGGGUUGUUGGGAUAUACUGGGAGAUUUUGUACUGGUCUGUACUGGUUUAUACUGGUUUAUACUGGUCUGUACUGGUGUGAACUGGUUUAUACUGGUCUAUACUGGUUUAUACUGGUUUAUACCAGUUCAUACUGGUCUGUACUGGUUUAUACUGGUUUAUACUGGUCCAUACUGGUUUAUACUGGUGUGAACUGGUUUAUACUGGUGUGAACUGGUUUAUACUGGUUUAUACUGGUCCAUACUGGUUUAUACCAGUUCAUACUGGUUUAUACUGGUCCAUACUGGUCCAUACUGGUCCAUACCGGUCCAUACUGGUUUAUACUGGUUCAUACUGGUCCGUACUGGUCCAUACUGGUCCAUACUGGUUUAUACUGGUCCAUACUGGUUUAAACUGGUCCAUACUGGUCCAUACUGGUUUAUACUGGUCCAUACUGGUCCAUACCAGUCCAUACUGGUUUAUACUGGUUCAUACUGGUCCGUACUGGUCCAUACUGGUCCAUACUGGUUUAUACCGGUCCAUACUGGUCCAUACUGGUUUAUCCUGGUCCAUACUGGUCCAUACUGGUUUAUACCGGUCCAUACUGGUCCAUACUGGUUUAUCCUGGUCCAUACUGGUCCAUACUGGUCCAUACUGGUUUAUACCAGCUCAUACUGGUCCAUACUGGUUUAUACUGGUCCAUACUGGUUUAUACUGGUUUAAACUGGUCCAUACUGGUCCAUACUGGUUUAUCCUGGUCCAUACUGGUCCAUACUGGUCCAUACUGGUCCGUACUGGUCCAUACUGGUCCAUACUGGUCCAUACUGGUUUAUACUGGUCCAUACUGGUCCAUACUGGUCCAUACUGGUUUAAACUGGUCCGUACUGGUCCCCCAGGCCAUGCCCGACCCCCGCCUGGACCGGGGCCGCUUUCCCUCCCUCCGCCUCACGGGGGCGCCGCGGGCCCCGCCCCCCUCGGGCCGCCGCGCGGGGCUGUGGCGCCGCCUGGCGGCCGCGGGCGGGAACUGCGGCUGCUGCGGCUGCUGCGGGCGGAGCGGCGGCGGCGGCGGAGAGUGGGAACCGAUCCCGGGAGAGACGCCGGGACGGAGAACGGCGCAGCCAGUGCGGCCAGGUAAGGGUUAAACACCGGGGGGAUUUUGGGGGGGCUCCGGUAACGGAGAGGUGCGGCCAUGUUU
ensembl:lncRNA